rnacentral:rRNA from 1 species
GAUGAACGCUGGCGGCGUGCCUAAUACAUGCAAGUCGAGCGAACGGACGAGAAGCUUGCUUCUCUGAUGUUAGCGGCGGACGGGUGAGUAACACGUGGAUAACCUACCUAUAAGACUGGGAUAACUUCGGGAAACCGGAGCUAAUACCGGAUAAUAUUUUGAACCGCAUGGUUCAAAAGUGAAAGACGGUCUUGCUGUCACUUAUAGAUGGAUCCGCGCUGCAUUAGCUAGUUGGUAAGGUAACGGCUUACCAAGGCAACGAUGCAUAGCCGACCUGAGAGGGUGAUCGGCCACACUGGAACUGAGACACGGUCCAGACUCCUACGGGAGGCAGCAGUAGGGAAUCUUCCGCAAUGGGCGAAAGCCUGACGGAGCAACGCCGCGUGAGUGAUGAAGGUCUUCGGAUCGUAAAACUCUGUUAUUAGGGAAGAACAUAUGUGUAAGUAACUGUGCACAUCUUGACGGUACCUAAUCAGAAAGCCACGGCUAACUACGUGCCAGCAGCCGCGGUAAUACGUAGGUGGCAAGCGUUAUCCGGAAUUAUUGGGCGUAAAGCGCGCGUAGGCGGUUUUUUAAGUCUGAUGUGAAAGCCCACGGCUCAACCGUGGAGGGUCAUUGGAAACUGGAAAACUUGAGUGCAGAAGAGGAAAGUGGAAUUCCAUGUGUAGCGGUGAAAUGCGCAGAGAUAUGGAGGAACACCAGUGGCGAAGGCGACUUUCUGGUCUGUAACUGACGCUGAUGUGCGAAAGCGUGGGGAUCAAACAGGAUUAGAUACCCUGGUAGUCCACGCCGUAAACGAUGAGUGCUAAGUGUUAGGGGGUUUCCGCCCCUUAGUGCUGCAGCUAACGCAUUAAGCACUCCGCCUGGGGAGUACGACCGCAAGGUUGAAACUCAAAGGAAUUGACGGGGACCCGCACAAGCGGUGGAGCAUGUGGUUUAAUUCGAAGCAACGCGAAGAACCUUACCAAAUCUUGACAUCCUUUGACAACUCUAGAGAUAGAGUCUUCCCCUUCGGGGGACAAAGUGACAGGUGGUGCAUGGUUGUCGUCAGCUCGUGUCGUGAGAUGUUGGGUUAAGUCCCGCAACGAGCGCAACCCUUAAGCUUAGUUGCCAUCAUUAAGUUGGGCACUCUAAGUUGACUGCCGGUGACAAACCGGAGGAAGGUGGGGAUGACGUCAAAUCAUCAUGCCCCUUAUGAUUUGGGCUACACACGUGCUACAAUGGACAAUACAAAGGGCAGCGAAACCGCGAGGUCAAGCAAAUCCCAUAAAGUUGUUCUCAGUUCGGAUUGUAGUCUGCAACUCGACUACAUGAAGCUGGAAUCGCUAGUAAUCGUAGAUCAGCAUGCUACGGUGAAUACGUUCCCGGGUCU